UGUUCAGCUAUUUCCCAAAUUGACUUUGAGGAGAUGAUCUCCAAAUUUGACCAUGUGGUGAGGAAUUGCUACCCGAUUCCUUAUGCGGCUAAUGCCUUGACAGAGGCUGCAUUCUAGAGCCAGACGAACAAGAUCCUCAUGGUAGAAGCGGCUUGCAAGGUUGAGCUAGGCCGUCAAAUUCAGUUGGAGAGACAAUUGCAAGAAAGGAACACAAAUUUUGAGAAACUUAUAUUCAAGUGUGAUGUUCUAUCAGAGCGGUAGCUUUGUGAAGAAAGGAGGAUCGAUUACUUAGCCGUGCAGGUGGCUCAUCUUGAGGCGAAUUUGCACAAUCAUUGAAGGUCAAUGACAACGCGGAGUGUACACUUGCGGCAGAGUGAAGUUCAUUGGAUGUCGACAGAGCAACCAUUCAAUCAAAACUGGACGAGACUUAGCAGGAAGCAAACUUAAAAGAGGAGAUGCAUAUUGACACCUUCUAGCAGGCCAUUGACGAUAAUGCAUUAGAGCUGGCAGAGGCCCACACGUUGUUUGGAACAACGUUAGCUCGGAAAUACUUCGAGAGAUACGACCAG
rnacentral:sRNA from 1 species